UUUAAAAUAAUUGUAAUUUAGUAUAUUUUCUAAAAAUAUAUUUUACAAAAAUAUACUUGAAUUGAAAGUUUUGUUUAUUUUUUUAAAAGUGUAUUUAUUUGCACUUUAUGUAAAUAUAUUUUAGUAUUAUUUUUAACUGUGUGCUGAAAAUGACCAUUGUAACAAUGCAUUGAAAGUAUACUUUCAAAGUACAUUAUUAAAUAACCUGAAGUUGUAGUAUACUUUAAGUUAAAUUUUGGAGUAAUUUUUAAGUGGACUUCUUUAUGCUUGCAAUUCACUUCAUUACUGCUUUCAGAAAGUAAUAAAACAUAUGAUAAAUGAGUUGAAAGCCCAUUUAAAACAUUUUUAAAUAAAGUGUAUGCACUGCACAAAAGGCUACUCUUGUAAUUGUGAUUUUAGUAUUUUAAUAAAUUUAUACAAUGUCACAGAGAGGUCCAAUGUAUAAACAUCAAUCCAUGACUAAUUUUAUAUCAACAGCACACCAUAUGAACACAAGAAAAUGUGUUCUACAGGAAAAUAACCUUUUAUCGAAUGUGUUUUUGAAAUGUUUCAGAUGAAUUUUGGGCGAAAUGAGCAAUUAAAUUAGCAUUAGCCUAUGCUAUUUUGCUUAGCUCGCUAUCAGUGCUGUGGCUGAACAGUUAGCCUACUAAUCCGAUAGACUUAAUAUUGUUUGGGGAGCUUAGUUGGCUUGGUAUUGCUAACUUCAUAGAGCUAGCUAUUUAUAAAGGCAGCGUUGCAGUUUACAGACUUGGUAGUUGAUGUUUAACUGUUUGUGCUCUUGACUGAGGGGAUUUGUGCAUUUUUUAAAGUUGCUAUUCACACUUCUUGUUUUUGACAGCGAGGCCGCGAAUUAGCGAAUUAGUUCUCCACUUAGCUUAGCCUGUUAGCUAGCUAACUGGAGAACUAAUUCGCUAAUUCGCGGGGGGAGAGAGAAGAGAGAGACGUUGCUAAAGUUCGGUGCUGUGCCUAGAAAUGUCCGCGAUGGUGGAAAAGGGUACGACGGAGAUUUCAGGGAAAAGAAGAGGCAGAAACUCGGUGAACAACCCGACAAAAAGUUUUACUUCCAACGGCAACAGUAACAAUUCGACGACAAAGUGACGACAAGCACGUGAAGAGAGGCAGUGACAAAGAGAGAGAGAGAGAGAGAGAUAAGAGGACAGAGAGAGAAGUGAAGAAAGAGGAGUGCUACUUUCCACAGCUCUCUGAUAUUCCCAAAUAACAAAUGCCUGAUCCAUCCUGAUGCCCUACUUCUGGUUGGAGUUCUCAUCAGUUGAAGAUUGCUCGCUGCUGCUGGGGGUGGCCCCACAUGGACGGCCUGAAGAUCGUUGGGGUUGCUGGGAAAGGUGCCACUUGGGGAUCGUGGAGAUGGCUUUGGACUGCGGUUGAUAUGGGCAGUUGUACUGUGAUGGCUUGGGGCUGCGGUUUCCGCAAGCAGUUUUGCACUCAGAUCUCCAUCAGUGGACAGUGGAUAGGUUCAACCACAGGGACUUUGUGUGAAAACUGUAAUGAAUUUCCUGGUUACACAAAUGCAUUAUUUGUCCAUGUAGUACACAGUUAUAGAGGGGAUUUAUUUAUAAUCACAUUAUCCGUUGUCACCCAGAUGAGGAUGGGUUCCCUUCUGAGUCCUGUUUCUCUCAAAGUUUCUUCCUCAUAUUGUCUCAGGGAGUUUUUCCUUGCCAUUGUCGCCUCUGGCUUGAUCAUUGUGGAUAAAUUCAUACAUUUACAAUUUAUAUCCUGAAUGUAUUUGUUUCUGUAAAGCUGCUUUGUGACAAUGUCUGUUGUUAAAAGCAUUAUACAAAUAAAAUUGAAUUGAAUUAAGCAGCAUAAAUUGGAUACAGUAUAUUGUUUGGAUUGUUAUUUUGAAGCAAAUUUGAUUUUUUUUUUUGCUCAAGAUACACAGAUAUCUUGAAUCCCUUCAUAUAUUUUUAUGUAUAUAUUUUUCUUUAUAUUUAAUAUUUUUCUAUUUUUUCUUAUUUUAUCUCACUGCAAGUCAUACUGUGUAUGGUUAUGCAUGUGACAAAUAAAAUUUGAAUUUGAAUU